rnacentral:rRNA from 1 species
AGUGAACGCUGGCGGUAGGCCUAACACAUGCAAGUCGAACGGCAGCACAGUAAGAGCUUGCUCUUACGGGUGGCGAGUGGCGGACGGGUGAGGCAUACAUCGGCAUCUACUUUUUCGUGGGGGAUAACGUAGGGAAACUUACGCUACUACCUCAUACGACCUACGGGUGAAAUCAGGGGAUCUUCGGACCUUGCGCGAUUGAAUGAGCCGCUGUCUGAUUAGCUAGUUGGCGGGGUAAAGGCCCACCAAGGAGACGAUCCGUAGCUGGUCUGGAGGGAUGAACAGCCACACUGGAACUGAGACACGGUCCAGACUCCUACGGGAGGAAGCAGUGGGGAAUAUUGGACAAUGGGCGCAAGCCUGAUCCAGCCAUACCGCGUGGGUGAAGAAGGCCUUCGGGUUGUAAAGCCCGUUUGUUGGGAAAGAAAAGCAGCAGGUUAAUACCCCGCUGUUCUGACGGUACCCAAAGAAUAAGCACCGGCUAACUUCGUG